GACGAACGCUGGCGGCGUGCUUAACACAUGCAAGUCGAACGGUAAGGCCCUUCGGGGUACACGAGUGGCGAACGGGUGAGUAACACGUGGGUGAUCUGCCCUGCGCUUCGGGAUAAGCCUGGGAAACUGGGUCUAAUACCGGAUAGGACCACUGCCUGCAUGGGUGGUGGUGGAAAGCUUUUGCGGUGUGGGAUGGGCCCGCGGCCUAUCAGCUUGUUGGGGGGGUGAUGGCCUACCAAGGCGACGACGGGUAGCCGGCCUGAGAGGGUGACGGGCCACACUGGGACUGAGAUACGGCCCAGACUCCUACGGGAGGCAGCAGUGGGGAAUAUUGCACAAUGGGCGCAAGCCUGAUGCAGCGACGCCGCGUGAGGGAUGACGGCCUUCGGGUUGUAAACCUCUUUCAGCACCGACGAAGCGCAAGUGACGGUAGGUGCAGAAGAAGGACCGGCCAACUACGUGCCAGCCGCCGCAGUAA
rnacentral:rRNA from 1 species